rnacentral:rRNA from 1 species
UAAUGUCUGGGAAACUGCCUGAUGGAGGGGGAUAACUACUGGAAACGGUAGCUAAUACCGCAUAAUGUCGCAAGACCAAAGUGGGGGACCUUCGGGCCUCAUGCCAUCAGAUGUGCCCAGAUGGGAUUAGCUAGUAGGUGGGGUAACGGCUCACCUAGGCGACGAUCCCUAGCUGGUCUGAGAGGAUGACCAGCAACACUGGAACUGAGACACGGUCCAG